rnacentral:rRNA from 1 species
GUGCCAGCAGCCGCGGUAAUACGUAGGGGGUAAGCGUUGUCCGGAUUUACUGGGUGUAAAGGGCGCGUAGGCGGAUCUGUAAGUCAGUGGUGAAAUCCUACAGCUUAACUGUAGAACUGCCUUUGAUACUGCAGAUCUUGAGUUUGGAAGAGAGAGAUGGAAUUCCAGGUGUAGUGGUGAAAUACGUAGAUAUCUGGAAGAACACCAGUGGCGAAGGCGACUUACUGGACUGUGUCUGACGCUGAGGCGCGAAAGCUAGGGGAGAGAACAGGAUUAGAUACCCUGGUAUUCCUAGCUGUAAACGAUGGGUACUAGGUGUGGGGGGUAUCGACCCCUUCCGUGCCGGAGUUAACGCAAUAAGUACCCCGCCUGGGGAGUACGGCCGCAAGGUUGAAACUUAAAGGAAUUGGCGG